rnacentral:lncRNA from 1 species
AUGAGUGUGUUCAUAUGUGAAACUCAUCCAGCUUGGCUUCACGAUCACACACUGUGCACUGAGUUCCAACUCACAUCAAAACUGCGGGCUGGAGCCCUCCUGCUCAGGGAAGCCUCGGAAAGGGUCUGCUCGGCCAAUGGAAGAUGGAGCUCGGAGAUGCUUUGUGCUCUUGCAGUGAGACGUAUGUCUUCAAAGUAUCUCUUUAGAAAAACAAAACAUAAAGCACCCCCACCCUGAUCACACAAUGCAUUCUUGUUCCCUUUGAAAUUUUAGGAAAUUUCUUUAAAGCACCAAGAAGAAAAAUAAAUUAUAUCUAUAUCUCCACCCAUGAAAAUGGGGUCCCUUCUCAAUCGCCUUUUUUUUCUUACUUCGUCAGUCUUGACUCUUUCACUAUCAUUUAAUAACCUCCAAGCACAUCCAUGUUAUUAGCUCCAUAAGAAAUAAUAAUCAGUAAAGCUACUAUUCAUGCACUACACGUUGUUCUAAGUGCUUCUUGUGUUUUUGUUCAUUUCAUCCCUACCUCGGCCUUAUAAGUUUCAUUAUGGUCAUCUCCAUCUUACAUAUGGGGAAACUGAAGCUUGCAUGGAGUUUGCCUAAAGUCAGGUUUACCUGACAUCUAGCUUUGCCCUCACUCAACACACUUGACCCUUUGGUGAUGGUGCUGUGGUGUCUAGAAUCCACAGGCCACUUGUCAUGUAUCCAGACUGAUUCCACGAUUUUCCAUUUGUUGUACAGACAUGUUGAAGAACAUCCUUUUGAACAGACAGCUGGGAAUCAUCAUAAGAAUUUCCUUAGGACAAAAGCAUGGUUGUGGAAUGGCUGGGUAAAAAGGUCAGCCCUUUGCCAAAUUAAUAGCCCUCCAGAAAGGUUGUGCUGUUUAUUCUUCCACUAGCAUGCAGAAAUUGUCACGACCCGCCUGCUUUUUAAAACCUCAUCCAGGAGUGACUCCCCAUCCUCCCUCUGUCAUUCCUCCUUUGAACAUACCUGAUGCGUUAUUUGGAGAUGCCAACCUAGGAGAAUGGGCACAGAUUAUUUAUCCUCGCUACUAGACCUCAACCUCACUCAUCUUGACAUCCCUCAGAGUCCCAGGGGUAAGGCCAGGUAUCUGUAUUGGGAAGAGGCUGUCUCCUUAAAGAACAGAUUCUCACCUCCCAGCCUUUGCUGGAUCACUUGUGUUUCACUCUCACUCUUAUCCCCACAGCUUCCGCUUUGACAUCAUCCUACCACCAUCACCUCCAGGAAGCCUUCCCUGCUGCCCCAGACAGGCCUGGAUGCCUCCCCAUUGCCUCGACAGCCCCAUCUUUACUCCGACAUCACACUGACCAUGUUACAUUGUACUGUAUUUCAUCAAAUCUA